rnacentral:misc_RNA from 1 species
CCUCUGUAGUUGUAAGGAAAGUAAUUAAGAGAAGUGAGAAGAUGAAUGACAUGAAGGAGAAGAAAAUGAAAGUGAGAGUAAAGAAAAUGAAAGUGAGAGUAAAGAAAACAAAAGAAAGAAACAGAGAGCUUAGCAGGCACAUCUUAAAGUUUUGUUUUUGCAAUGUAUUAUUUCAUAUUUGUGGAUUUUUUUGUUAAUUGAUGGCUGUAUUUUUAGCCAUUUAUUAUUCUUCUGGCAUCUGUUUUGUAUUAUUUGAAAUAUAUCUGUUAUUUCAACAGCCAUUAGAAAGGCAUGCUGAAGCACCAUCAGAAUCUGGAUCAUCUUCUCUACCUGCAAACAAGACCAGCAUCCCCUGUUAUUUUUAUUUUAGUGGUUUCUGCAGUAAAGGUGACAGAUGUUCUUUUAUGCAUGGCCCGGAUGCCAGUACAUGUACUGGGAAAUCUGGCAAUACCUCUUUAGCAUUCAAGGAAGGCACUCCCUUGGAUAACAAGACAUCUGUAGGAAAUGUUGUGUCUGCAUCAACAGAAGCAUGUGCUAAUCUAUCUAAAACAGCUUCAGGUUUGAUGUUGCAAGCUAAAAAGGACAUUCAGCUUCCAGCUCCCAAAAAUGUUAUAGUGCAAAGUCCCUUUCCAGAGGUUGCUUUGAGGCACUGUGAAGAAGCUGUUACUGUUAAGUCAGAUUUCUUGCUUCAAUCAGACAGCUUUAUUCAAAGCAGAUCUCAUGUUUGCACAGAUUUGAGUUCAGUAGAGCAAGUGGAUGGCUAUGUUGAACCACAGGAGUGUUGGGAAUCAUCCCCUGGUUUUGAUGUUCUUGUGGAUGACAAAUCAGGGAAUUUGGUUUACGAGGAUGAUCAAGAAUAUUUACUGGCUCUUGACAGGGAACACAGGGAGCUAAAUAACCAUUUCCAAGGGUAUGAAUUUGAAGACCUAGAGUAUGACCGUACAUACUGUGAUACAGAAGUUAUGUAUAAGCAAGAGACAUACGAUUCAUUUGAUUGUUUGGAUAAUGUGCACAUCUUUGAUGAUGUUGGAAACAGCUCUGGCUUCUCUAGUGACCGAAUUCUGGAUUCUUCAUUGCGCCGGAAGAGAAAACUCUUGCCAAUGGAACUGAGGGUUGUGGAUCUUCAAGACCGCUGGAGGAAACACAGAGUAAAUAAUGGCCUUCCAGUGAUUAGAUCAACAAGAAGGCAUGACUCAACUCGUCUGCUUGGUCGAGGUCGGGAAAAGCCUCAAAGACCUGGGGUUAGCCAGUGGCUGCAAGGAAGGUUGGCAUCAAAGGUUGGAAAGAAUGUAUUUGAUUCAUUUAAAGAUAAUGGAAUUUUGUUAAAUUGUGCUAACCAGAAUGGCUGGCGAAGGCACUCAAGGUUGAAUAGGUCCAGGCUGCAAAACAAGGGAAAAAGGCAGGCUAAAGGGCAAUUUCUUUCUUCUGAAGUGCUAAGGAAACCAGUUCCCAGAGAGAGGAAAUAUAAUAAUUCAUCCACUGAGUUUACAGGACCCAAGUCCCUUGCUCAGAUUAAAGAAGAGAAGAAAAAAGCUGAAGAUAAUGGAGAUUACACUGGGAAAACUGGUAAUUCAAAUAGAAUGGCGUUAGCUGACUUCGAGGGUCCUAAACCUCUUAGUGAAAUCCUCAAAGACAAGAGGAAGAUGGGUACUGUGGAAGAUGAUGAUGGUAGUACAUAUGACUAAAAGGUGAUACUACAAAGACUGGAAAGAAUCAAGAACAUUUAGUACAAGUUGCUAAUUUUGUACAAGAUAAUGAAGAUAAAAUUCUUGUUCAACAGAAUGAUACAGCAUAUCUUCCCAAUUCUUGAAUGGCUGCUUACCAUCAUUGGAUGAAGAAUAUUUUGUUCAUUCCUGUUGCUGGAAGAAGACAUUGAGAAGAAAGCUUUAUCGUCACCUAAUUAGGAUUGUUUUCGUGAUCUACCAAUAUGCUGGUUACUGAAUAGAAGCUUUAAACUAGAACAUACUGGUUUUUGCUCAUACAUUUCAAAGAAUUUGAUUACUUCAUAAUGAGCUUGUCCCCAUCUUUUGUACAGAGUUACCUGUAAAAUGCUUGAAUCAAUUCAUGGAUCAGUAAAUUGGCAUUGAGAAUUCCAUCAUCCUGCUUUCUUUUGCAAGUGUUGAUUAAUCUUUGAACAUUAAUUCAUUUUAUAACUCUACUUCUUUAGCUU